UGGGGGAUCGUCUAGCUGGUAGGACACUGGGUUCUGGUCCCAGGAGCGGGGGUUCGAGUCCUCCUCCCCCAGUCA
rnacentral:tRNA from 1 species